CCUACGGGAGGCAGCAGUGGGGGAUAUUGCACAAUGGGGGAAACCCUGAUGCAGCGACGCCGCGUGAGUGAAGAAGUAUUUCGGUAUGUAAAGCUCUAUCAGCAGGGAAGAAAAAAGACGGUACCUGACUAAGAAGCCCCGGCUAACUACGUGCCAGCAGCCGCGGUAAUACGUAGGGGGCAAGCGUUAUCCGGAUUUACUGGGUUUAAAGGGAGCGUAGACGGCAAUACAAGUCGGAAGUGAAAUAGCCGGGCUCAACCUGGGAACUGCUUUGGAAACUGUAUGGCUAGAGUGCUGGUGAGGUAAGCGGAAUUCGUGGUGUAGCGGUGAAAUGCGUAGAUAUUAGGAGGAACACCGGUGGCGAAGGCAGCUUACUAAACAGUAACUGACAUUGAGGCUCGAAAGCGUGGGGAGCAAACAGGAUUAGAUACCCUUGUAGUC
rnacentral:rRNA from 1 species